UUUUUUUUUUUUUUUUUUGGGGGGGGGUGUUCGUAGAACUUAAAUCAAGUUUUUAGGUGAAGUCUUGCAAUAGUAAUUUAUUUCUUCCAGCACUAGUAUGUAUCUUGACUCAUAGUUCCAGUAAGACCAAGAUCCCGGUAGCCCAAGUAUACCAUAUAUACAAACCCACACUGCAUAUAAAUGGAAGAAUGGGACGAAAACAGUCACCUAUACUAGUAUUCCUAGAAAAGCAACCUC
rnacentral:lncRNA from 1 species